rnacentral:rRNA from 1 species
AUAAUGGGUCAGCGACUUAUAUUCUGUAGCAAGGUUAACCGAAUAGGGGAGCCGAAGGGAAACCGAGUCUUAACUGGGCGUUAAGUUGCAGGGUAUAGACCCGAAACCCGGUGAUCUAGCCAUGGGCAGGUUGAAGGUUGGGUAACACUAACUGGAGGACCGAACCGACUAAUGUUGAAAAAUUAGCGGAUGACUUGUGGCUGGGGGUGAAAGGCCAAUCAAACCGGGAGAUAGCUGGUUCUCCCCGAAAGCUAUUUAGGUAGCGCCUCGUGAAUUCAUCUCCGGGGGUAGAGCACUGUUUCGGCAAGGGGGUCAUCCCGACUUACCAACCCGAUGCAAACUGCGAAUACCGGAGAAUGUUAUCACGGGAGACACACGGCGGGUGCUAACGUCCGUCGUGAAGAGGGAAACAACCCAGACCGCCAGCUAAGGUCCCAAAGUCAUGGUUAAGUGGGAAACGAUGUGGGAAGGCCCAGACAGCCAGGAUGUUGGCUUAGAAGCAGCCAUCAUUUAAAGAAAGCGUAAUAGCUCACUGGUCGAGUCGGCCUGCGCGGAAGAUGUAACGGGGCUAAACCAUGCACCGAAGCUGCGGCAGCGACGCUUAUGCGUUGUUGGGUAGGGGAGCGUUCUGUAAGCCUGCGAAGGUGUGCUGUGAGGCAUGCUGGAGGUAUCAGAAGUGCGAAUGCUGACAUAAGUAACGAUAAAGCGGGUGAAAAGCCCGCUCGCCGGAAGACCAAGGGUUCCUGUCCAACGUUAAUCGGGGCAGGGUGAGUCGACCCCUAAGGCGAGGCCGAAAGGCGUAGUCGAUGGGAAACAGGUUAAUAUUCCUGUACUUGGUGUUACUGCGAAGGGGGGACGGAGAAGGCUAUGUUGGCCGGGCGACGGUUGUCCCGGUUUAAGCGUGUAGGCUGGUUUUCCAGGCAAAUCCGGAAAAUCAAGGCUGAGGCGUGAUGACGAGGCACUACGGUGCUGAAGCAACAAAUGCCCUGCUUCCAGGAAAAGCCUCUAAGCAUCAGGUAACAUCAAAUCGUACCCCAAACCGACACAGGUAGUCAGGUAGAGAAUACCAAGGCGCUUGAGAGAACUCGGGUGAAGGAACUAGGCAAAAUGGUGCCGUAACUUCGGGAGAAGGCACGCUGAUAUGUAGGUGAAGCGACUUGCUCGUGGAGCUGAAAUCAGUCGAAGAUACCAGCUGGCUGCAACUGUUUAUUAAAAACACAGCACUGUGCAAACACGAAAGUGGACGUAUACGGUGUGACGCCUGCCCGGUGCCGGAAGGUUAAUUGAUGGGGUCAGCGCAAGCGAAGCUCUUGAUCGAAGCCCCGGUAAACGGCGGCCGUAACUAUAACGGUCCUAAGGUAGCGAAAUUCCUUGUCGGGUAAGUUCCGACCUGCACGAAUGGCGUAAUGAUGGCCAGGCUGUCUCCACCCGAGACUCAGUGAAAUUGAACUCGCUGUGAAGAUGCAGUGUACCCGCGGCAAGACGGAAAGACCCCGUGAACCUUUACUAUAGCUUGACACUGAACAUUGAGCCUUGAUGUGUAGGAUAGGUGGGAGGCUU